CCACCACCAAAGCAUUUGCUGUACCGCGUUGACGGAGCGAAGCGACGUCAAACCGAUAAAACAGCAGUGUAAAGUGAGCCGCAGGGCGCUUUGCGCGACAGCGCAAAGGCAGGCGGUUUCGCGUAGCGAAAGCGAAUGCUUUGGGGUGGGGUGACUGCGUACCUUUUGUAUAAUGGGUCAGCGACUUAUAUUCUGUAGCAAGGUUAACCGAAUAGGGGAGCCGGAGGGAAACCGAGUCUUAAUUGGGCGUUAAGUUGCAGGGUAUAGACCCGAAACCCGGUGAUCUAGCCAUGGGCAGGUUGAAGGUUGGGUAACACUAACUGGAGGACCGAACCGACUAAUGUUGAAAAAUUAGCGGAUGACCUGUGGCUGGGGGUGAAAGGCCAAUCAAACCGGGAGAUAGCUGGUUCUCCCCGAAAGCUAUUUAGGUAGCGCCUCGUGAAUUCAUCUCCGGGGGUAGAGCACUGUUUCGGCUAGGGGGCCAUCCCGGCUUACCAACCCGAUGCAAACUGCGAAUACCGGAGAAUGUUAUCACGGGAGACACACGGCGGGUGCUAACGUCCGUCGUGAAGAGGGAAACAACCCAGACCGCCAGCUAAGGUCCCAAAGUCAUGGUUAAGUGGGAAACGAUGUGGGAAGGCCCAGACAGCCAGGAUGUUGGCUUAGAAGCAGCCAUCAUUUAAAGAAAGCGUAAUAGCUCACUGGUCGAGUCGGCCUGCGCGGAAGAUGUAACGGGGCUAAACCAUGCACCGAAGCUGCGGCAGCGACACUGUGUGUUGUUGGGUAGGGGAGCGUUCUGUAAGCCUGUGAAGGUGUGUCGUGAGGCAUGCUGGAGGUAUCAGAAGUGCGAAUGCUGACAUAAGUAACGAUAAAGCGGGUGAAAAGCCCGCUCGCCGGAAGACCAAGGGUUCCUGUCCAACGUUAAUCGGGGCAGGGUGAGUCGACCCCUAAGGCGAGGCCGAAAGGCGUAGUCGAUGGGAAACGGGUUAAUAUUCCCGUACUUGGUGUUACUGCGAAGGGGGGACGGAGAAGGCUAUGUUGGCCGGGCGACGGUUGUCCCGGUUUAAGCGUGUAGGUGUGUGUUCCAGGUAAAUCCGGUUCACUUUAACACUGAGGCGUGACGACGAGGCACUACGGUGCUGAAGCAACAAAUGCCCUGCUUCCAGGAAAAGCCUCUAAGCAUCAGGUAACAUCAAAUCGUACCCCAAACCGACACAGGUGGUCAGGUAGAGAAUACCAAGGCGCUUGAGAGAACUCGGGUGAAGGAACUAGGCAAAAUGGUGCCGUAACUUCGGGAGAAGGCACGCUGACACGUAGGUGAAGUGAUUUACUCAUGGAGCUGAAGUCAGUCGAAGAUACCAGCUGGCUGCAACUGUUUAUUAAAAACACAGCACUGUGCAAACACGAAAGUGGACGUAUACGGUGUGACGCCUGCCCGGUGCCGGAAGGUUAAUUGAUGGGGUCAGCGCAAGCGAAGCUCCUGAUCGAAGCCCCGGUAAACGGCGGCCGUAACUAUAACGGUCCUAAGGUAGCGAAAUUCCUUGUCGGGUAAGUUCCGACCUGCACGAAUGGCGUAAUGAUGGCCAGGCUGUCUCCACCCGAGACUCAGUGAAAUUGAACUCGCUGUGAAGAUGCAGUGUACCCGCGGCAAGACGGAAAGACCCCGUGAACCUUUACUAUAGCUUGACACUGAACAUUGAGCCUUGAUGUGUAGGAUAGGUGGGAGGCUUUGAAGUGUGGACGCCAGUCUGCAUGGAGCCGACCUUGAAAUACCACCCUUUAAUGUUUGAUGUUCUAACGUGGACCCGUUACCCGGGUUGCGGACAGUGUCUGGUGGGUAGUUUGACUGGGGCGGUCUCCUCCUAAAGAGUAACGGAGGAGCACGAAGGUUGGCUAAUCCUGGUCGGACAUCAGGAGGUUAGUGCAAUGGCAUAAGCCAGCUUGACUGCGAGCGUGACGGCGCGAGCAGGUGCGAAAGCAGGUCAUAGUGAUCCGGUGGUUCUGAAUGGAAGGGCCAUCGCUCAACGGAUAAAAGGUACUCCGGGGAUAACAGGCUGAUACCGCCCAAGAGUUCAUAUCGACGGCGGUGUUUGGCACCUCGAUGUCGGCUCAUCACAUCCUGGGGCUGAAGUAGGUCCCAAGGGUAUGGCUGUUCGCCAUUUAAAGUGGUACGCGAGCUGGGUUUAGAACGUCGUGAGACAGUUCGGUCCCUAUCUGCCGUGGGCGCUGGAGAACUGAGGGGGGCUGCUCCUAGUACGAGAGGACCGGAGUGGACGCAUCACUGGUGUUCGGGUUGUCAUGCCAAUGGCACUGCCCGGUAGCUAAAUGCGGAAGAGAUAAGUGCUGAAAGCAUCUAAGCACGAAACUUGCCCCGA
rnacentral:rRNA from 3 species